GACGAACGCUGGCGGCGUGCUUAACACAUGCAAGUCGAACGGAAAGGCCCUGCUUUUGUGGGGUGCUCGAGUGGCGAACGGGUGAGUAACACGUGAGUCACCUUCCCUUGACUUUGGGAUAACUUCAGGAAACUGGGGCUAAUACCGGCUAGGAGCUCCUGCUGCAUGGUGGGGGUUGGAAAGAUUCGGCGGUCGGGGAUGGAUUCCCGGCUUAUCUGCUUGUUGGGGGGGUAGUGGCUUACCAACGGUUUGACGGGUAUCCGGCCUGGGAGGGUGACCGGCCACCUUGGGACUGAGGGACGGCCCAGACGCCUACGGUGGGCAGCAGGGGGGAAUAUUGCACAAUGGGCGGAAGUCUGAUGCAGCAACGCCGCGGGCGGGAUGACGGCCUGCGGGUUAUAAACCGCUUUAGCCUGUGACGAUGCGUGAGUGACGGUAAUGGGUAAAGAAGCACCGGCUAACUACGUG
rnacentral:rRNA from 1 species